CCCUUAGAUGUUUGGGGCCGCACGCGCGCUACACUGAAGGACCCAACGUGUGUACGUCCUGGCCCGGGAGGGCUGGGUAACCCGUUGAACCUCCUUCGUGCUAGGGAUCGGGGCUUGCAAUUCUUCCCCGUGAACGAGGAAUUCCCAGUAAGCGCGAGUCAUCAGCUCGCGUUGAUUACGUCCCUGCCCUUUGUACACACCGCCCGUCGCUACUACCGAUUGGAUGGUUUAGUGAGAUCCUCGGAUUGGUCCCGGCAUGGUGGGUUACCGCCGCGCCCGGCGUAGCCGAAAAGACGAUCGAACUUGAUCAUCUAGAGGAAGUAAAAGUCGUAACA
rnacentral:rRNA from 1 species